rnacentral:rRNA from 1 species
UAGGGAAUCUUCUNGCAAUGGACGGAAGUCUGACCGAGCAACGCCGCGUGAGUGAAGAAGGUUUUCGGAUCGUAAAGCUCUGUUGUAAGAGAAGAACGAGUGUGAGAGUGGAAAGUUCACACUGUGACGGUAUCUUACCAGAAAGGGACGGCUAACUACGUGCCAGCAGCCGCGGUAAUACGUAGGUCCCGAGCGUUGUCCGGAUUUAUUGGGCGUAAAGCGAGCGCAGGCGGUUAGAUAAGUCUGAAGUUAAAGGCUGUGGCUUAACCAUAGUAGGCUUUGGAAACUGUUUAACUUGAGUGCAAGAGGGGAGAGUGGAAUUCCAUGUGUAGCGGUGAAAUGCGUAGAUAUAUGGAGGAACACCGGUGGCGAAAGCGGCUCUCUGGCUUGUAACUGACGCUGAGGCUCGAAAGCGUGGGGAGCAAACAGGAUUAGAUACCCUGGUAGUCCACGCUGUAAACGAUGAGUGCUAGGUGUUAGACCCUUUCCGGGGUUUAGUGCCGUAGCUAACGCAUUAAGCACUCCGCCUGGGGAGUACGACCGCAAGGUUG